GACAGAGGGUGCAAACGUUGUUCGGAAUUACUGGGCGUAAAGCGCGUGUAGGCUGCUCGGAAAGUCGGAUGUGAAAGCCCUGGGCUCAACCCAGGAAGAGCAUUCGAAACUCCCGAGCUUGAGUCCCGGAGAGGAAGGCGGGAAUUCUCGGUGUAGAGGUGAAAUUCGUAGAUAUCGAGAGGAACACCUGUGGCGAAAGGCGGCCUCUGGACGGUGACUGACGCUGAGACGCGAAAGCGUGGGGAGCAAACAGG
rnacentral:rRNA from 1 species